AAGAAGUCUGGCCGAGUGGAGACGGAUCUCUUCUGCUGUUUGCGCACGACAAAGGAUGCGUGCCUGCCGGCUACAAGUAGUGUUCCUUUGUACUUUAUGGAAGACGAUGAUACCUGCCUCAGAUGCUGUCAUCACAAAUAACAGAUUCUUCGCUCUGCCCCACAUACCCACAGCCAAUGUCGAAAUGGUCUUACCUUAUGCCAAGAGUACCUUGCAGUGCUUUGGGGCAUGCGCCAGUCACCAGCCCUCUUGUCAGGGAUUCGUUGUGAACAGCGUUGACUUGACUCAGCCAUGUACACUUCUAAUAGGUCUAACAGGCCUGAAGAACCCAGCCACGCUUAACGUCAAGGCCUACGUCACCAGAAUCAUCGACGGGCAGGUCAUCCACUACGACGCCUCACUAAGAAACUGGUCG